rnacentral:pre_miRNA from 1 species
GUUAAUGAAAGAUACGGUGUCCUUGUUCAAUGAGCUUUAUUCAGCGCUGAAUAAAGCUCAUUGAACAAGGACACCGUAUCUUUCAUUAUU